rnacentral:sRNA from 1 species
AAAAAAAAAGUAAAAUACAAAGAUUACUAUGCAAAAAC